GGUCCCUUGCAUGGCUUGCUACUUGCAUUCCUCAUGCAAAUCUUGAAGCUAUGGUGUGAAUGACUUCUCAUACCAUGAACUUUAUCAACUUGAAACACAGGAUUGAAGGAGCUCCUUCAGUCAUAGGAAUCUCACUGAAUAAUUCAGAAUACUUAUUUCUUCUCCAGCUCUUUUUCUGCUGUCUUAAGUGACCACCUUAACUCUUAACGUAACCUAAAAAAUCCUGUAGCCCUUCAGUACAGUGGGUCAGGGUUGUACUGCACUUGUAGGUCCUGCUCCCUUGGCUGCUAAACAGGGAAUUUGCCUUUCCUUUUGCAUGCUCACAAGUUGCUUUUCUCUUGUGCUCCCCAAGCUUUAAAUAAAGCAUUAGAUUUCCUCUGGUUUCCUUCCUUUAGAAGGAAGCCACAAAACCUGAUCUAAAAUAGCCCAGAGUAUGCACCCAGAGUAGAAACCCUGUUUAAAUAUCACACAGUGCCAGGCAGAGCAGCCACAGUUUUAUCUAUUUCUAUUAAUUACCCCAGGAUUAGCCAGUUUACCAAAUCAGGGAAAACUGACAGGUUUAAUUACACAAAUGGUGCAAGCUGAACCUUUUGCCUUGUGACACAGGCAAGGGAGAAUUCUGGGAUGCCUUGUGGUACAGUUGGGUGUCUUGUCGAAGCACUUGUCUUUGCUCUAACUUACAAACUCACACCACUGCCUGUGUAAGCACAUGCAGGUUUCUAAACAGAGCCAAGGAAAACAAAUUGCAGCUGAACUCUGCUUCUCCUCCUGCUUUAAGGAGUUAUGUCUGGACUAUUGAUGGGCAGAAAAAGAGAGCUGAUGCAUCCAUAGACUGGGAAAGCACAUCAGCAGGUUACUUUGCAUCUCUGACAGGAUCUUAAAAUUGUGACGUAAUGCAGAUUGCAAGGGAUGUCAGAAGGUUUCAGAUCAAACCUACAAUCCAAAGCACGGCCACUUACAACAGGUUUUCAGGGCUUGGCCAGCCAAGUUUUGGAACCUCCAUGGCUGAGGAUCUCUGAUCUUGGGCAGCUUCUCUGGGCAUUUGCUCCAGUGUUUGACUGCCCUCACGGUAAAAAUAAUUUUCCUUUUAUUUAAUCAGAUCUAUCAAGCAGUCUGCAGAGACUGGCUCCACCUUUUCUGUAUCUCACCAUCAGGCAGCUGUAGACACCAGUAAGCUUUUCCAUGGGACUUCUCUGUUUCAAGGCUGAACAAGCUAACUUGAGUUGAAAAAUGUAACCGAAAAUGUGUAUUCUAUUUUCAUCUGUUGAAACCAGUUGGGGGAUAUUGCUCCUUAUCUCUUGUAACUCUAGGGGGGGAAGAGGGCAGAUGCCCUCUGUUAAUGGGACACCUGAUAACACCAGAUAAGGCAGUGCCUUCUUAUCUCUUCCUCCACCCAUCCUCCUCCGAGGGACAUCACCUGUGAAUGGGCCAUUUAAGGCCUCUCACAUGACUGAUAACAUCACCUCAUUCCAUUGUGAGAUGCUCCACCCAGUGGGAGGAGCCCAAGCCUUUCCACCGAGAUAAAAUCAGCAAUCCCAAACACCAGGGGAACCUGUUUCCACUGGAUUCCCAGAGGAAGACUGAACCCUUUUCUUGAGGAUUGUCUCUACUUUGAUGGAGAUGCAUCUGUCACUCCAGGAGGACUUAUUUUGGGCUGCUUCCAACACCCUGACCAACAGGGUGUCAGGUUUGCAUUCUGACUCUGUCAGUGGUCCUUUGUACUAUUGCAUUUAUCUUAUUUUAUUUUUACCGUUUUUGUUGUUUGUUUCUUCUUUCUGACUUGGAGUCUCACUGGUUUUGCUUUCAAACCAGUACACAAGCCCAGCUCCUGCAGCCUCUCCUUGCAUGUUGUGCUCUCAGCUGCCUGCUCAGUCCAGCAUGUCAAUGUCUUUCUUAUACUGGAGCCCCCAAAGCUCCAUGCAGUUCUCCAGAUGUGGUCUCACAAGUGCUGAAUAGAGGGGACUAAUAAAUUUCCUUGAUUUCCACCUGUGAUCCUGUAAGUAUGGCCUAGUACGCUGUUGGUUCCCUUUGCCUCAAGGGCACACUGCAAUUCCCACUCCUUUUUUUUUUUCUCUCUUUAUUCUAAAGCUGUUCCAAACCCAUCUACCAAGUCUGAAUUGCUGUAAGGGUUAGUCUGCCUCAGAGGCAGGACUGUGCUGCAUUUGCCUGUGCUCAUGAAGUAGCUGGCAGAUAAUUUCUCCAGCAUCCUGAGAUCUGCCCUUCGAGGCAGUCCUGCCCCCGCUGUUGCCACUCCCCAGCCCCAGGAGAGCAGCUGACACACUUGUGUUACUGCAAACCUCCCCAGACCCAGGUUCUGUGGAGUCCACACACUGCUGAAAGGGCACUCUCUUGUGUCCUACAGGAUGUUAAAAGAGAUCUUAGAUGGUACUGGUCCCACUGCUGACCUCCUAGAAUGCCCCUGGAAACUUUAUCUGUACAGCUGGGCUCAAAGGAUGGUCUGGUACACUCCUCACCUGUUGCAGGUAGCUACACACUCCAGAUCAGUGAUUUGACUGUUUUAGAAAUAAAUAAUUAAAAAAAAGACCCAACAGAAGAAUCCUUUUAUUUUCAAAGUUUGAUCAAUCCAUGAAAGAAAGAGCAGCACAUUUUUGCAAAGCCCAAAUAACUGUACAGCUCGUUCUGAAGACAGAUUUUUCCCAACAGAAAGGAAGUGUCUGUUAAAGAGAAGGAACCAGGAAGGGAGCCAGGACCAACUGUGGCCAGCAUGGUUCUGCUGGCUCAUACCUUUGGAAACACACUACAUCCUUCACACUUCUCCUUCCAGUGUUGGUCUCCUUAAAAUCACUGAACACCCAGGACCUAUGAAAGAAAUGGAGCAAAACUGUCCAGGGAGGAACGUUGCCUGGCUGUAUGAGCAGUCACCUUUCCACUUCAAAGGAAAUCAGGUUGUCUUCCAGGGAGUUCCAGUCACCAAAUCAUUUUGU